AGAAUCAACGCUGGCGGCGUGCCUCAGACAUGCAAGUCGAACGCGAAAUCCCGAGCAAUCGGGAAAGUAGAGUGGCGCACGGGUGAGUAACACGUAGGUAAUCUACCUUCGGAUGGGGAAUAACAACCGGAAACGGUUGCUAAUACCGCAUAAUGCAGCGGCACCUAAUGGUGACAGUUGUUAAAGCGGGGGAUCGAAAGACCUCGCGUCUGAAGAGGAGCCUGCGGCGGAUUAGCUAGUUGGUAAGGUAAUGGCUUACCAAGGCAACGAUCCGUAACCGGCCUGAGAGGGCGGUCGGUCACACUGACACUGACAUACGGGUCAGACUCCGUACGGGAGGCAGCAGUCGGGUAAUUUUGGGACUAAGUGGGCGAAAGCCUGACCAGCGAACGCCGCGUGGAA
rnacentral:rRNA from 1 species